rnacentral:tRNA from 1 species
GCCCGGGUGGUGAAAUUGGUAGACACACAGGACUUAAAAUCCUGCGGCCUUAACGGCCAUGCCGGUUCGAUUCCGGCCCUGGGCACCA